CGGCGGGCGACAGAGUUGGAGAGCUGCGGCGGACUGUAAAUCCAUUCCCUUUGGGUGAAUAGGUUCGAAUCCUAUCUCGUCGACCA
rnacentral:tRNA from 1 species